ACAAGUCUUCAUAUUUAUUUGGAAAUUCACAGUUUCUAAAUUGCACUAAGGCUCUGGAGUUACACUUUUGUUCACCAUAUAUUUGUAAGCAAAAAAAAUAAUUUAAUUUUAUUCCUUUUUCCUGCUUUUUUUAUCUGAUCUUUAAAAAAGAAACGUAAGGUUCGGGUGCUCAAAUUGUCUGCAUAUUUUCUACACAACCUCACUAAGGGAACAAUUGCAUUUCGUGUUAAGUUCAAAAAACAAUAUUAGCAAAUACAAGGAGUGAGUGGAAUACGGUGCUGUACAUGGCGCCCAUACAACAUGGAGCAAGACGACUCCUGGGUUCCUGGGGGAAAAUGAUAGGUAAUGCACGAUAAGCCUAUUCCAUCUGAUGGUCGAGGUUGUGUCAUACCUGCACAAGGACAUGUAUUGGAGUUAUCCAUGCAGUUCCAAGUAAAUGGACCCUUUAAAAGUCUUUUUAAUGUAUAUAUACACACACACACACACACACUAAAACCCUGCCUGUACCUAUACAUACAAGUUCAUACUAAAACAUACUAUGAAUAUAUCUGGCGGGAAACCUUCUUUGAUCUCUGUAAGGCUUUAUGCACACAAUCAUAUUUUACAUCUGUGUGCUACCCGCAUAUGAGCACGCUGACCCAUUCGUCUCUACGCAGCCAUGUACACAUCCGUGCUUUGUGCAGAUCCGUGUGGUUGUUCCAAAAAAGACAGAACAUGUCCCUUCUCAUAACCCUUUCUAUUGAUGGGAAUGGGAACUAUAUGGAAUGCACACAGAAGGUAUUUUGUGUAUCUGUAGUUUGCGGGCGGAAAUACGGUCAUGACUGUGUGCAUGAAGCCUAACGUGUUCCCCGUUAAAAUACAGCCAAGUUGGAGUUACACAUGCUAAAAUCUCAUGAAAGCGAUUUACCAGUAUUUCCCCAUUAUAAGCUGAAUAAAUGCCAUGGCCGACAGCAAGAAUCUGCAGGAUAUCAAACAGUUACCGACUAUUAUUAUGUCUUGUUACAGCCUGCGCUCUACAGGCAAACUAUUCUCCAUCUUCAACCAGUAUAUAGCACUGGUCUCCAACCUGUGGUUCUCCAGUUGUUACAAAACCAUAACCAACGUAAUGAGAAGGGGAAUACUGUAUCAACUGCAAAGGUGGAGCUACGUUCACAUCUCCAUUCAUUUGACUCAGCAGAGCAGGAUACUAACGUUCACCACCGGACCCCAUAGACCAGGGUUUCUGAACUGCGGUCCUCGGAACCCACCUACUGGUCAGGAUUUGAGAAUUUCCCGCAGAAUGAAUCUCUGUGGCAAGUCCUGAUGCAUCGACACUAAUUAUAUCACCUGCUCAAUACUAAGGAAAUCCAGAAAACAUGACUGGUAGGUGGAGUUGAGAAACCCUGCCAUAGACUAUAUAGGUGGGGCUGGCUGGGAUCAAGCCACUCUCCAGUGAAAUGUCUGCUUUCGGCUGGAUAAAAACAGUUGCAUGCAAUGGUUUUUCUGAGCGAAACCCAGCACUCAUGCCGGAACACAGCUGGACCCCACCAGGCUGUUUUCCGGAACAGCCUCCUGGAUCUAGCUGAAUGGAGAUGUGAACAAAGCCUUAGAGACAACUGGUAUAUGGAGUAUCGGAAGGCUCUAUGGGCAAUUUGGGAACAUUUGGUUUCCCAAGAGCUUUCCAGAUCCAACUUGAAUACCAAGUGAAGGAAAACGUAAUUUUGUGUAGACAUAUUAAUAUCGCAGCUCCACAGUUAGCAAAAUCCAUACAUUCUCAACAGCCUAAAUAAACAGAUAAAUAAGCCACAUAUAGGCCAUAGACAUUUACAAGUGCCCCUUCCCCACAGUGUAAAGACCGCAUUAGAAAGCAGAAAUAAUAUCACUAGUAAUAAGACAUAUAUAACUCAUUAAACAGGAGCUAAGGCCAGCAGACAGUGGAAGCCAUGAUAGUACCUGAACAGUAAUGACCAGUGGGUCCUAAAACAAUGCAAAUGACUAUUUCUGGCCACAUACUCAGGCUGCAGAUGUGGAUGAAUCUUAAGGAGCAUCACUGUUCUAAUAAGGCAAAAAUUAUUGCUCUGUUCCUCUUUAUACUUUCAGAAAUUAACACUGACAAAUGUUUUUUUCCAAAAUCUAAAGAUACAUUAGGUUCCAGCCACAAAUAUCUUUAGAGAACGUUUUUUUUUUUUUCACUUCUUAAAAAGCAAAGCAUCUGGAUAUGCAUAGUAGAAUAUGGAAAUGUACUCCCUAUGAACACAUUUAUGGAUAGAGGCUACAAACCAACUGUGGGAUAGACUAGUGUGUAACCAUGGCUAUUCUGGAGUCUGGAAUCAUAGAGACACCUCAUUCUGCAUAGGUGGUGGUGGUGUCCUUGAGGAACAACUCUUAAAUGUAUUUUACCAGCUAAUAUCAUUCAGCCUAACCUGCUUAAUCUUUCCUCAAAUUAUGGGUCUUAAAAUGACUGGCAGUACUACAAGGAUUAAAGUGCUUUGACGUGCUCCUAAAAACUUAAGGCCUUGGACAACUGUAGUCAUAUCAUGAGCACUUUAAUGUACCACACUAAAAGGUUACGGGAAGAGAUGCAAGUCCAGAAAUGUGAAGUGAAACUACAGAUACAUUUUUCACUUUACAACUAGGUCAUGGGUGUUCCGGUUUCAAGAUGGGUAACUACACCAUAAAUCUAGCUCUUCAGUCACUCUAUGAAGACUUUUAGGAAACUAUAGCAUUCCAUGAGUCACUCAGCAUCAUGGUACUUGACGUAGAGCUCAGCAGUAACAGGAUUAUACAAUUAUCAGAACACUUUGGCAUGAAGGCCUAAUGACUUCCAUCAACCUUAUGCCACAGAAAUCUUCCUUUGUACAAAUGUAAAUGUAUGCACUUGUGGUGUUUUCAGAUCUUGCCAGUGCCCUACUUCAUACGCUGUCAUCUGUAGACUACAAUUAAUCUCCAAAAACAGGAUGAUGCAUAUGGGCUGUUUCAUGUUCUGCAUUAUUUCAAUAAAGUUCUUAGAGGUUCUAAUAGGAGGCCAUACAUGGGUUCAAAGGUUUUAACACGAGCCACACAUGGUUUCAGAGGUUCUAACAAGAGGCCACACAUGGAUUCAGAGGUUCUAACAGGUGGCCAUACAUGGGUUCGGAGGCAAUACAUUAGUUCGCUAACUUGACAAAUCUCUCUAUUGCCUCAACUGGAGGCUUAUUUCCCAUUUUAUUUUUCUCCACCUACCAGGAAAGUUCUUUUUUGUGUGAAUAGAAAAAUGUAUUGUUUCUUUGACAGACUUUGAGACCCUACAACCAUCUCUGGAUAUUAUACAAUAAAUGUAGAGGAGUCCAACAACGUGCAAGUUAUCAGUGGAAGGCGUACAGCGAAAGGACUAAGGGGCUCAUUUACUAACAGAUAUAGGCCACUUUUUGGCGAAUAUCUGUCAGAUUGCAGCGCCCGCUUAGGCCAGGUCUAAUAAAGGGGGGAGCGGUGUGGGCGGGGACCUGUCAGAUCCUGUGGAGUAUCUCCUGAGAACAAAAGAAGCAUACUGAAAUCCAACGCCCAAAUCAGCUCAUCCCUGACGGGGGGGAGGAAUCUCCAUAUAUUUAGAUGGUCGGUCACUCCUAAAAUAUUUGAUUUCAGCUGACAAGCUAAUGUGCAAGGCCAGCUUUAGACUAAGUACCUCAGAAAAAAAAAAAAUUAAUUCUAAAUAACAAAAAACAAACUUAUAAUAAAUAAUCUUUGCGAACAUGUAAAAACCCAUCCAUUUAAACACCCAUACAAAAAAACACAAUCUUGCUACAAAAACAUGGCGUAAAAUCCAACUAUGGGCAGAGUUCAAAAUGGAAUAAAAAAAAACAAAAAAAAAAAACAUCCUGUGUGUAGAUAUUGCUGUUACAACACCCCUGGCUGUUCUUCAGGACCUCCACCUAAUAUGGACAGCUUUGUCGAGCUGCUCCUGGUGCACAGAUUCUUCUUGUGGAAAUCCGGCACAAGAGUGGGAACCACUGGUGUGCAAGAGGAUUUGGCGGUGGGACUGAGCUGCUGAGCAUGUGUGACCACUACAAAGUCAGGUGGAUGUUCUUAAAAGGAAUUAAAUAAAGACCAGGGGCAUUUUAAUUAUUGCUUACAACUGAAAUAUCGAUCUGUUAUGAGCGAUCUAAAAAAAAAAAAAAAAAAAGGGAUAUUUACAUUAACUGGAUAACCCGAUUGAUUUUUGUCUACCAAAAUGAUAAAUUGAUUAAAAAAAAAAAAAAAAAAAG